rnacentral:tRNA from 1 species
GGGUCCGUAGCUCAGUUGGUUAGAGUACUACCUUGACAUGGUAGGGGUCGGCGGUUCGAGUUCGCCCGGACCCACCA